GAGAAAUGAGCUCUGGUGCUCUGCUCUUAAGUCCUGCUUACUCGGUCUGGAACUCCAGCUCAGGGGAUGAUGUCACCCACAUUUAGGUUGGGCCUUCUCACCUCAAUCAACCUGAUCUAGAUAAUUCUUCAUGGACAUAUCCAGGAGUUCCAGUCACUCUGAUACACCUGUCCCCAUCCCAGCUUACAUGGAAACAACAUCAGCCUGCUCCUGGUGCCCAUAGAAAAAGAUGAAGAAGAUACCUGCUUCCGUAGUCCCUGUGUUAUCUGCAAUCCUAACCAACAGGGGAAGGCGGGGCCUGUCGAGUGUUGGGCUCGGUGAACCUCACAGUGGAUCUCUGCAGUAGUGCCAGGGUCUCUCCCCUUCCUGACUGAUUGUUCUUCAGCUGAGCAAUCUUCUCCAGGAUCCAGUGCUCAUCUCUGUAUCCCUCAUCAGGUAAACAAGACAAUGCUCUUGGUGACCAGUCAACAGUAGCAUCGAGUCCUGGCAUUUCAGUAAUCAACUAUGUCACGUGUUCAAUCAAAUCCAUUCAUAGUUCUAACAUAGCUGAUUGUAGAAUGUGAAUGGCCAAGCCAUCCAAAA